rnacentral:rRNA from 1 species
UAGUGGCGAACGGGUGAGUAACACGUGGGCAAUCUGCCCUUCACUCUGGGACAAGCCCUGGAAACGGGGUCUAAUACCGGAUACCACUCCUGCCUGCAUGGGCGGGGGUUGAAAGCUCCGGCGGUGAAGGAUGAGCCCGCGGCCUAUCAGCUUGUUGGUGGGGUAAUGGCCCACCAAGGCGACGACGGGUAGCCGGCCUGAGAGGGCGACCGGCCACACUGGGACUGAGACACGGCCCAGACUCCUACGGGAGGCAGCAGUGGGGAAUAUUGCACAAUGGGCGAAAGCCUGAUGCAGCGACGCCGCGUGAGGGAUGACGGCCUUCGGGUUGUAAACCUCUUUCAGCAGGGAAGAAGCGAAAGUGACGGUACCUGCAGAAGAAGCGCCGGCUAACUACGUGCCAGCAGCCGCGGUAAUACGUAGGGCGCAAGCGUUGUCCGGAAUUAUUGGGCGUAAAGAGCUCGUAGGCGGCUUGUCACGUCGGAUGUGAAAGCCCGAGGCUUAACCUCGGGUCUGCAUUCGAUACGGA